rnacentral:misc_RNA from 1 species
GGAUCAUAUAAUCGCGUGGAUAUGGCACGCAAGUUUCUACCGGGCACCGUAAAUGUCCGACUAUGGUC